AAAAGUGCUUCUAGAAAGUAGUGAACUUACAGUCUGAAUGCAUAUUUAAAUUAAAUAUUUCCAUUUUCUAUUUUUGAAAUAUCAACAAACAUUUCUAAAAACAUUUUCUGUCAUUAUAAGUUAUGUUUUGUUGAAAUGUAUAACACAAAUGACAAUGUCUGAAUACUUUCCAAAGGUGCUGAAUCUAACCAGCUGACUUCUAGAGAAAGCAUUGCACUGGGGGAUUGUCAAUGUGAUGCCUCUCCUGUUUUCAGAAAUAUCCCAGAACAAGACACAGAUCAUGUGGUUCAGAAGAGUCAUAUUGGGAGGACUUGCCACAUGCGCAGUUCUGAAUAUAUUGUGGUGCUGGGCUGUUCUAGAAAUUGUCCCGCAGAUGUCUAUACAGAGGGUUUUGAAGGUUGGGGUGAACACCACCAGCGAUAUGAUGUCUGAGUCCUCUGCAACAGGCUACACCCUGAUCUUCUCCAAUAUCUCCCUGGAGGCGUCAGAAAAAGCAGGAGAAAUUGCAGCAAUCCCACUAACAAAGAUAAUCAGUCUGAAGUAUCACCACUUCUCGUGGGUAGCGGAGCUGAUCCAGAUUUUUAUUGCUGUCAGUAUAACGGUGUCCUUUCUGGUGAUGGGCUCUGCUAUGAAGCACACAAUUGAUGGCCUCGUAAACUCACACUGCAACACCAAGUUGGAAUGGAUGUCGAAGGUCUGGGAGAGGACAUUACCACAGAGCUUCCACAGAUGCAGUUCAAGAAGCUUUGCCAGUGGGCUUAUGUCUCUUCUUGCCUUCGGAAUCAUUUUUAUUGUCUCGUCCUGUGAUCCAAGUGGAUUUGUGGUGAUGUUGGACAAAGUGGUGUCCUUCUCCUUGAACACGGAGGUUGGGUUGUUCUUUUUUCUGAUGCUUCGAGCCUCCAGAUCAGAACGGUUUCAACACCUAACAGUACCUCUGCCUGUGGGCCAACUGGUAUUCCAGCUUUACUGGAUCCUGCCCAUUUACUUCCUGUUCGCUGUGGCAUACGAUGUAAUCCAGAGCAUCAUGGAGAUAGCGGAGCACAAUUUACAGCACUCUUCCCAACCUAUCCUCACCAAUUCCUCUGCUUGGAAGGAUGGAGGUUAG
rnacentral:lncRNA from 1 species